AGAAAAUUUAAUCAAUAUUUAAGGGUUAAAUGUAGCCUUGCUUAUUUAUGCAAAUCUUAGUAUUAGAGAGUUUUAUUGGGCAGUUAUUAGGAUUAUAUAUCUAGUUUUUUGGGAUAUAGAAAUGGUUUGUGGUACUAACAUAAUUUGUGCCAGCAGUUGCGGUUAUACAAAUAGUGCAAUUUAACUUUAGCGGUUAGAGUUAAUUUGAUUUUUUAGUUAUAAUAUUGUAAUUUUAAGGUGAAAUUUAAAUUUGUUAUUUUUAAUUUUAAAAAUAAGAUGAAGCUUAUAAAUUUUAAUAUAAAACUAGGAUUAGAUACCCUAUUAUUUAAAGUGUAAAUCUUAAGGCCUGAUUAGUAAGAGUUAAGAUCUUGAAAAUUAAAUGUUUUGGCGGUGUUUUAAUCUUAUCAGAGGAACCUGUCUUGUAAUCGAUAGUCCACGAUUUGUAUUACUUUUUUAUGUAUUUGUAUAUCGUCGUUAUUUGAUUAUCUUUAAAAAGAUUAAAUAUUCAUAAGUCUUUAUUUAGUAGGAUGUCAGAUCAAGGUGCAGUAUUAAAAAGAAGUGAUGGGUUACAUUAUAUUUAUAUUGAGAUUUAAAAUUUAAAAUAUUUUAAUGAACAUGGAUUUGAUAGUAAUUUUUUUAAUUAAAGAGAUUGAAUUAAGCUCUAGAAUAUGUACAUAUCGCCCGUCGCUUUCAUUAUUUAUGAAAUAAGUCGUAACAAAGUAGGUUUACUGGAAAGUGGUCCUGGAAAGGU
rnacentral:ncRNA from 1 species